rnacentral:rRNA from 1 species
CCUACGGGAGGCAGCAGUGGGGAAUAUUGGGCAAUGGAGGAAACUCUGACCCAGCGACGCCGCGUGCGGGAUGAAGGCCUUCGGGUUGUAAACCGCUUUCAGUAGGGAAGAAGCGAAAGUGACGGUACCUACAAAAGAAGCACCGGCUAACUAUGUGCCAGCAGCCGCGGUAAUACAUAGGGUGCAAGCGUUGUCCGGAAUUAUUGGGCGUAAAGAGCUCGUAGGUCGUUUGUUACGUCGGAUGUGAAAACCUGAGGCUCAACCUCAGGCCUGCAUUCGAUACGGGCAAACUAGAGUUUGGUAGGGGAGACUGGAAUUCCUGGUGUAGCGGUGGAAUGCGCAGAUAUCAGGAGGAACACCAAUGGCGAAGGCAGGUCUCUGGGCCAAUACUGACACUGAGGAGCGAAAGUCUGGGGAGCGAACAGGAUUAGAUACCCUGGUAGUCCAGACCGUAAACGGUGGGCACUAGUUGUGGGAACCUUCCACGGUUUCUGCGACGCGAGACGUACGACUAUUAAGUACGUCCCGCCGUCGGGUAGGUACGUACGUCGCGAGAAGUUAAACGUAACGAAGGAAGUAGUAACGGUCGUGUUAGAGUGACGACGGACGACGACGAGGAGGAGG